AAGGAGGAGGGGGUUGGAGUGGGGGGAGUGUUAGAGGGAGAAUGUGUGUCGGGCAGGAAAUAGAAAAACCACAGACAGACAGACAGAGUGACAGAGAGAAAGAGGACAGAAAGAAUAAGAAAGGAAAGAAAGAGUAUCUACAAGGUGGGGGUUUGCUUUCUAUCCGUUAGCCGUCUUUAUUUCUGGAAAUCAAACAUUUAUAAAUCCUUCUUUAGAGCCGUGCCGGUACUCAGUGGGGUUUUCCUGUUUGCUCUGCUGCCUCCAUUUAUUCAUCAGGAGCGGCAGGCUAGAGCUCACCAGCAUCCUCUAAGAGAUCCGCCUGCUGGGACAUCGCAAGCAUCCGAGCUACAACUGACUGAUCUAUACUUGAGAGAAGUCAUGGAGCAAGCAGAGAAUAAAACCACCUCGCCCUUAAAGCAGACGGUCAAAAAUCGCUCCAAAUCGACAGACGAGGUGCAGCAAGCGAAAAAGGCUUUUCACACACCACAGAAGUCUCUUCCAGCUAAAUCGGAGACGGAGAAGCUGGAGGCGGACACCGAGGAGCUCGGCGCUUCAUCCGAGGAGCUAAAAUAAUGGCACCACUCAGCAGACUGAUGUUAUUAGAAACUUUACAUGAAAUCAUGACCCGCAUCUUGUUUACACCACUGUAUCUAAUCACAUCACUUUAUCAUGUCUUCUGCUUUGUAUCAGUCAUUAGUCGGGCAAGAGAAUAAUAAAUCACCAUGAUGUGAUUUUACAAGAGGUUUGAAUUGAUUUGAAGGUUUAAACACAGAUCCUAGCCCUAGUCCAAAAUCAUGAUAGCCAUGAAACUCAUGGAUUUGAUUUAUUUAUGAUGAUGAGUGAGUGAGUGAGUGAGUGAGUGAGUGAGUGAGUAGGCGAUCGUUGCUGGAGCUUAUCGAAUGUUCGUCUGUAAUGCAAACCGCUUUAAAUCUGCGCUCGUAAUGAUCUAUAAAGCA